AGCCCGGAAUAAAUGCCCGCGCCUACACGCGGUAGAGAAGCGUGAUUCAGAGAUAAACCCCUUAGUUCGAAUUAAUUAUGGAAUUAGGUUUAACUGUUAAUUUGAACUAAGGGGUUUAUCUCGGAAUCGCGCUUCUCUGCCGUGUGUAGAUGUGGGCAGUUAUUCUGGGCU
rnacentral:pre_miRNA from 1 species